GGGGAAGAAAAGGAUAUGCGAAAUUAUUGAGCGGACGAGAAUUGGAGUCCAAGAAGUUCAAGACAAGAUCAAGAGAAGAAAUGAAGCAAUGAAAAUAAGUGAAGACAUUUGUUGAGUCUUAUUUAUAUUGUCUUUAAUGUGAUCUUGAUCCGACUUUAAAUUUGAGUCUUGGCUUCUCUCAAAAAUGAUUUUACAAUAUAUGCAUAUCAUAAAUAUUUUUAUUGCAUAUCAUAAAU
rnacentral:lncRNA from 1 species